AAAGUUUCCCGGCCCGCGCCGCCGCCGCCACCACCGUCGCGGCCGCCGCCGCCGCCGCCUGGGGCUCCCGCCUCCCGGAGCGCCCGGCCCGACCGAGCUCAGCGCGCGGAGCCCCCCGCCCGGGCCGAGGAGGGGACGGCGCAGGAGGAAGGAAGAGGCAGCGGCGGCCGCGGCGGCAGCAGCAGCAGCAAUGAAGGCGUCCGCGGGACUCCCCGCCCCCCGCGCACCGCGGCACGUGCUCGCCCGGGGACUCCCCCGCCCGGGAGGGCGCACACGUGCGGCCCCGCCGAGCCCCGCCGGCCCGGCCGGGCCCCGGGCCGGGCGAGAGGGGGGUGGUUCCCGCGGAGGGGAGGGGUCGGGUGGGCGGCCUGCGAGCGGCUUGGGGCAGGCUCCGGCCCGGCCGCCGCUUCUCUGCACCUGCAGUGGCUCCCACCCACGCGGUCGGCCCUCCCGGGAGGCGGCCGCCCCCUUCGGGUUGGCCACCCUCGCCCUCCGGCGGGGCUGCAGCCGGGGCCGGCGAGGCGGGGUGGGGCACGCGGACCUUCCAGCCUAGGCCCUCGGCCGAGCCUCGCUCGGUGUCCCCACUUCCUGCCACUCCCUGCGGGCCAGAUCUGUCCGGGACAGCCCCGGCGCCCCCGGGAGGCCUGAGCGCCGGGCCCGACUGACCCCCCUGUCCCAGCUGCCGCUGGCUCAUUCCGAGGCAGGACAAUGGGGGACAUCGCGCGUUUGCGUACCGAGUCAGCCUGGCCGGCAAGAAGGGGUUGCUCGGGGGCAGAGGCUAAGGGCACCCUCGCAGGGGUCACGGCCGAAUGCCCUGUCCAGGUGGACCCCACGGCCCUGCCAUCACCAGCCUCCCCCGCGCCGCGCUCGAUUCUUUCGCGUCGAAAACAAAGACUAAUCCGAUACCCCCGCCCUGCCUCCCAGAGGAGGGGGAACGGGCGCGUCGCGGAGGGUAACUGAGGAGGACAGCGUUCAGGAGGGCCUCGGACAGCCUCGAGGGGGCCGUGGGGCGACUAAGCCCUAAAACCCGGCGCAGACACUUUGAAGAGUCACCCUGGGCUACGUUCCAGGCAGGGGGUAAGGGGCAGGGCUCAGGAAUAUUUCCAAGUUGCCAAACUGCCCGUUCUCUCUGCUGCUUUUUUCCCUCACCUGUUGUGCAGGCCAAGUUGAAAUUCCAGGUUAGAUUAAUUCAGCCCCACCCAUCUGGCCUGACUGCCAGGCUGGUGCCUGCAACUGCCUUCCACCUACCUCGGUUGCAGGGGAGCAGGGUGGGUCUCUGACAUACACGCGCACACACACACUCGGGCGAGUCCUGGCAGAAACAGCCACAGGACGGACUGGCCUGACCAGUUUGGGCGGUGCUCACGGAGCCAGGUACCUGGCAGGCGUCGCCGCCCGGCUGCAGCUAACAGCUUAGCCAGAACUGGAAAAAGAGCAUUCGGCCGGCUAUUUAGAAAGAAAGAAAAAAAAGUAACUGAUCUGAAGUAGCGCUGUCCAGAAAGCCCUAGGCGGUAAAGCAGCCCGGGUUCUAUCUGGAACUUCCCUCUGAUUUUGACAGCCUGCUCCAGGGUCCAGGUUGUCAGCGAGGGAGUGGGUGGGGGUGAACAUGGCUGCAAUAUCCACUUCCUACCAUGGCCUUUGGGAGGACUGAAGAGUUUCUGUUCAGGGUAGUAAGACUAGAACCGAGACGAAAAACCAAGAGAGUGCAAUUUUCAAACAGGGGAACAGGUUGCAGACUCGUAAUUGUUUUUAAUGUAAUAUAUUUUUAAUAAGCAACUUUAUUAAUAAAAAAUGUGUAUAAAGAAGACGUGGAGACUACAGAUACUAGAGGGGAAAAAUCACCAAAUUACAACCAUAUUUAACCAUUUGCUAUAUUUCCUUGUAGCCUUUCCUAUUUGUGGAUUUACUCACACUGAUUAUACAAUUUGCCAUCCUCUUUUAACUUAACAUUGUACCAUAGGCAUUUCCCUGUUUGGUAUACAGUUUUCAGAAAGUGUGACAGUGAGGUGAAGAAGAUGGCUCAGGAGCCAGAGAACUCUGGCUUCCAAACCUGAAUCUGCCACUUGGUAACAGUGUGACCUUGGACUAGGUACUCCAUCUUCAAGGGAAUCCAAGUAAAAGACUUAAUAUAGGGCUCAAUGAAUGACAACAACUAAUAUUGUUUAAUCCAUAUGACAACCUUGUGAGGUAGGUACUAUCAUCAAACCCAUUUUAUGGAUAAGAAAACAGAUUAAAUAACUUGCCCAGGAUCACUCAGCUAGUAAGUUGUGGACUUUCAGAGGAGCCCAGCAGCCAUCCUCUUGUAUUCUGUCUGGGUAAAUGGCACCAGCAAGUUACUGUGUCAUUUACUCUUUGCCAGCAAUCUAUGAGAGGGUCAUUUCAUAAAGCCCUCUCGUUUAGGUAACUGGGUGAAUGCUGGUGCCAUUCACUGUGACAAAAUGCAGAAGGAAGGAUGCCUGGGGAUGGAGACAUUCGUGUGAAAUUACUACAAACUCCUGGAAGGGUAGCACGCUGUCUUUCACCUCAUAACCCUAGACCUAGCAACCAACCACUGUGUUGAAUGAAGAGACGAGGUGAGUAGACCCUAAUGAAUGACAGACCCCAGUAACACUGAAGACCCAUAGGCUUCUUUCCUGCUUUCUUUACGACUUGCACAAACUGGUCAGGGGCGCCCAAGAUAAAACAGCCUAAACUCCUCAGGUCCUGCCUUCUGGUUCUCCAGCCUCCUGGGCUGCUGCGGCUAUUCCCAUUCACAUUGCGCUCAGGGCAGGAGAGCAGCGGGGGUGGGCGUAGGGAUAGGGCGAGCCCUUCCUGGGGCUGCAUUAGCCUAGACGCAGUGGUUCCGCCAAGAGAGCCCCGGCACCAGCAGCAUCACCAUCUCCUGGGAACUGGCUAGAAAUGCAAGCUCUCGGCCCCAUCCUAACCCCACUGAAUCAGAAACCCUGGGGGCGGGCCCAGCAAUCUGUUUUAAUUAGUCCGUCAGGUGAAGUCAAGUUAGAGCAGCACUGGACUACAGCAAGCGGGGGAGAAGGAAGUUCAGCACCCAGGUGGAGACUGCGAUUAGGCCCCCAAGGCGCUUAGAGCAGACAGAGGGAGAGAGGCUCCUUUUAGGAGCGGGUUUGGCGGGCGCCACCCCAAGCGGCCAAGGGCGGAGCCUCUUUUAGGCGACUGCUCCCGCGAGGUCAGAGCCGGGCUGUGCCGCUGCCCCCGGGACUAGAAAGGGAAAUCUCCUUGCUAGAGGAGGAAGCCCUAAGAACUCAAGGGAGAUAGGGGUGGCAGGGGCAUUUCCCUGGAUGCCUGGAGCAUGGAGGGUGCGAAAUAAGGAGGCUUUCCUACCCCAUUGAUGAGCUGAAGUUGAUUCCGCACGGGGGAGGAAAGGGACAGGAAGCAUAAUUGGAUGUGCAAGCCUGUGGUUCUUCAGGAAGUUAACACGUGGAACUAACACUGUUGGAUGCUGCUGAACUCUCAGGUGAUUGAUGUGACUAACCUCCUCAGAAAAAUCAUCAUUGACAUCCAACACCAGCACUGGAAUGUUCAUCAGAGCCUCAAAGUGGAGCCUAUAAGAAGCGUGAACGUUUGGGGGACAGAAAAAAAGAAAUGUAACUUGAGUCAAGUUUCACAUACUCGCCAAGUCUUACUCAGAGAACAGAUCUAAAUUCAACAUGACUUUUCAAAGAAACUGCAUGUAAACUGCAUUUAAAAAAACAAAUUCAAUAAAGUUGGCCGGAAACAGAAAGGUUGAGGUUUCUCUUCAUUCUUGAGAGUGAUACUAACAAACAGUCAGAGCACCAAACAUUUUAAGUGGACAACAAACCAAGCCUAAAGGGAGGACAGGCAGAAACCAGGAAUGCCAACUUAGUAAUACUGACAAUUUCUCUAACAUUUUCAGCCCUUCAUGCUGAGCCAACUAUCACCAUCAAUCACAAUGUUCAGUCUAGGGAAAUGUUAAGAAACAAAGAAAAAGCUGGAGAAAUACAAUCUAAUAAAAAGGCCCUUGGAAUGUAAAGAUUAUAUUCAAUAUUAAACUUCUUCUGGGCAUCUCACUCUGUCGCCCAGGCUGGAGUACAGUGGUGCGAUCUCGGCUCACCGCAAUCUUUGCCUCCCAGGUUCAAGCGAUUCUCCUGCCUCAGCCUCCCGAGUAGCUGGUAUUACAGGCGCCUGACACCACACCUGGCUAAUUUUUCUAUUUUUAGUAGAGACAGGGUUUCACCAUGUUGGCCAGGCUGGUCUUGAAUCCUGACCUCAGGUGACUGCCUCAGCCUCCCAAAGUGCUGGGAUUACAGGCGUGAGCCACGGUGUCCAGCAAUAUUAAACUUCUGAGUUGGAAAAUGCUUGACAUUUCCAACCAUUUCCAGUAUAUUCUGAACCUUCCUACAGGGGGCUGCAUGCUGAACUUGUUUUUAACAACUGGCUGUUGGGAGCCAGGUCUCUGUCUCUGAUACAUUCUUUUCUCCCCACUUACUUCGUUGUCUUGUGAAUAAGCCAGGCUUCGUGUUGGCCAUGCAGCUGCUCUAGAUAGGCCAGCUCAAUUCCUUUCUCCUCCUCCCUGGCCCUCUGGUACAGUCUCUUCAAACAAACCUAAAAGACAGUCCCCAAGCCCUGAUGAGCUCUUUGCUGUUUUGGCUGCUACAAUGCAGUCUUCGGGGGCUCUGAGGCCCACCCAUAAUGUCUAUCUUGGGCAUUACAAGCCAUGCCUUUGCUUCUGCUGUCUUGUUUUCUUAUGCAAUCAGAGGAUCUACACCAUUCUUUUCCCAUCUCCACCUUAAACCUGCUCUUCCUCUGAAGUAUCCUAAGUCGGUUAAUGAUGAACAUCAUCCAUCCAGUCAUCCAAGCCACGGACCUGGAAUUUUCCUUGUUUUUCCUUCUCCCUACUAUAUCUGGGAAGUCACUCAAUUCUCUUUCAUCUCUCUAGAAUGUUCUCUCCUUGCCUCUCCUCUCACCUCUGCCCUGGUCGGGUCCUCUUUACUUCUUACCUGGAUUAUGGCAAGAGCCUUCUGGUUCUGCCUCCUGGAGGCAGGGAAGCAUAUGGACAGAGUACAGGCCUUAAGGUCAGAAAGUCCAGGAGUAAAUUCCUGCCUUCAUAAGGUACUAGCAGUGCAGUCCUUGUGGGCUUCUAUUUCCUCAUUGUCUACCCAUCCACAGGUCACUGAGGUAAGUUGUAUUGAGCUCCUGGCAAAAGCUGUUCCCUCCUUCCAGUUUUUCCCCUUCACUCCACCCGUCUGUAGUACGGCAAUAUAAUGACAUGACUUUCCUUGCUGAAAAUACUUCACAGGCUCUUUACCGCCUACAGCCAUAGCCCCAGGGUUCAAAGCAGUAUGUAUGAAUAGCAUUGCAUUUAUAAAAUGUUAGGUAAUUUGAAAUAUCUCUUUCAUGUCAUACCAAACAUUCACUCAGGAAUAGAAUGUAAAAUUUGCACAGGUCAAAGAUAAAACAAAGAAGUGGAAAAACAAGUGAGGCUUGAGACUAACUCUCCUCCCCCGCUGCUUUGCAGAGUGUACAUAAUUCUAUUCUGCAUUCAUCUGGUAGUGAAGUUUGAUGCACACUGGCUCAGAAAAUGACAUCUUCUUUACCUGUCACACAAAGCUACCCCUCCUACUUCUCAACUGCCUUAGCUCUUCCCCUGGACUCACUGCUUUAGCCAGAUUUGACCUCUUUCCUGGGGAACAGGCCAGGCUCUUUCACACCUCAAAAUUUUUGCUCCAAAUGUUUGUUUUGACUGAAUUAUCCUCAGUCCUCUCUCUGCUUGACAAACAUUUCAUUAUUCAAUAUCAUCUGUCCUGGAAGAACAGAUGGAUUAACCCACUGAUUUAGGACUUCACUCUUUUUUUUUGAGACAGAGUCUUGCUCUGUUGCCAGGCUGGAGUGCAGUGGCGCGAUCUCAGCUCACUGCAACCUCUGCCUCCCAGGUUCAAGUGAUUCUCUUGCCUCAGCCUCUCAAGUAGCUGGGACUACAGGCGGGAGCCACCACGCCCAACUAAUUUUUUGUAUUUUUAGUAGAGAUGGGGUUUCACCAUGUCGGCCAGGAUGGUCUCGAUCUCUUGGCAUCGUGAUCUGCCCGCUUCGGCUUCUCAAAAUGCUGGGAUUACAGGCGUGAGCCACCGUGCCCGGCCAGGACUUCCCUCUUUCAAUAACUUACUUAAGAAAUGAAAACUUAAUUUCCAAAUGUAGUACACAAUAAUCCCAAAGACUUGGGAGUCUUUGCUGUUUCCCUCUUAUCUUACCUUUUCUCUAAGGAAAUGAAAUUAUAGAAACAAAUUUUAUUAAUGAUCAAAAGGUAUAUGCACUUGCAAUUAUAUACUGCCAGACUGCCUCCUUAGAGGUUAACCAAUUUAUAUUCCCACCAGAAAGGUAGCUUUAGGAUUUCUAAGCAUAGCAAAGCUAUCAUCUCAUUUUCCUUUCUGAGAAAAAAAAUGUUGUCUGUUUCGUGAAAAUAAAUUUUUUUAAAAUGUGACUUUAUGUUUCCAAGUACACACACAAAGGCAGAACAAUUCUUUUUAGGAAAGCUAUUUAUAAUUAUUCAUUCACUGCUUGCAGACAAACCUUGACACUAACAUUGAUCUAUUAAAAUAAGCUAACAUAUUUCUAUUUACUAUUAAUUUCCUUAACAGAGCAAAUGGAUUUCCCUGAGAAGUCUAAGUCUUAACUGGUGGCAGUAUUGAGUGGGGAAAAAAAAAGAGGUCGAAGUAAACUCCUACUAUGAGCAUUUGGCAUAACUCUUGCUUUACUGAUAUCGCUAUAACAAAUUCUAUUUAAAAAAAUCCCGUGCAAACAGUGCUUUAGUCUGACCCCUCUUCAUCUCAGUCCUCAUGAGGAAGACACACCUGAAUGUGAACAGGAAAGAUAGUGUAGCUACAAGUGGCGAGGGAGAGACCCUUUACUGGUCUUCUUAACCUGUCCCACCCAGGAAGAAGAACUGCUGCUCUGCUUGCUUGGAGUCAGAAACAGAAAAUGGAAAGUGACUGCUAGUGGGUCUUUUCACUAUGCCUCUCAAGCCCAAACCCAGGUGCCAUUUGUCCCAUGCACCUCCUGCAUGCUGUCCCCAUGCUGUGCCAGUCCCAGGUAGGGCCUGGCUUUUUGAUGUACAUUGAUCAGCUGCACUCUCUUGAUUCCAUGGGGCUGGCUAGGAACACUGAGGCCUAGCUAUUUCUCUUUUGAGUUUUAAAAUUGUUAGCUUGCUUGUGUUUUAAAAAAAAUUUUUAGAGAUGGGGUCUCCCUAUGUUGACCAUGCUCGUCUUGAGCUCCUGGCCUCAAGCAAUCCUCCCAUCUCAGCCUCCCAAAGUGCUGGGAUUACAGGCGUGAGUCACCGUGCCCGGCCUGAGUUGCCUUUUCUAAAAAAAAAAAUUUAUUUAUUCAUUUAUUUGAGACAGGGUCUUGCUUUGUGGCCUAGGCUGAAAUGCAGUGGUGUAAUCCUGACUCACUGCAGCCUCAAUCUCCCAGGCUCAAGUGAUAUCCCACCUCAGCCUGCUGAGUAGCUGGGAAUACAGACACACCACCAUGCUUGGCUAAUUUUUAAAUUUUUUGUAGAGGGCAGGGGGCUCUCACUAUGUUGCCCAGGUGGGUCUUAAACUCCUGGGCUCAAGCAGUCCUCCCACCUUGGUCUCCCAAAGUGCUGGCAUUGCAGGCAUGAGCCACUGCACCCGCCUGGUCCAGUCUGGCCCGGCUUGCUGGCUUUUAAGAAGUUAGGGGGCCAGACGCGGUGGCUCAUGCCUGUAAUCCCAGCACUUUGGGAGGCCGAGGCGGGCGGAUCACGUCAGGAGAUCGAGACCAUCCUGGCUAACAUGGUGAAACCCCGUCUCUACUAAAAAUACAAAAAAAAAUUAGCCGGGUGUGGUGGCGGGUGCCUGUAGUCCCAGCUACUCGGGAGGCUGAGGCAGGAGAAUGCUGUGAACCCGGGAGGCGGAGCUUGCAGUGAGCAGAGAUCGUGCCACUCCAGCCUGGGCAACAGAGCAAAACUCUGUCUCAAAAAAAAAAAAAAAAAAAAAAGAAGUUAGGGAAGAAUAGGUAGAAAGGAGCAGAAGGACCUACGAAGUCCAUCUGACAUGCUCGAAACUCAGUAUUUACGAGGGCUCUGAACUGGAAGAUUGGGCACUUGCACAGCUUUUUACAUAGUGACAGGACAACUUCUAUUCUGCUCUUCCCUUGGGCACAGUUACCUCUGAAUUUCACAGAAGAGGUCAAGUGUGACUUCAGGGAAGAAACAUGGGCAUUCCUGCAUCUCUGGAACUAAUGCCAUCAAAACAGCAUUAAAAUCCCCAUCUAAUCUCAAAAUGAAUAAGCUAUUUUUCUUUUCUGCCAUUAAGUUGUAAUAAUCCUUCAACUCUUCUCAUUCUACUCCAGCUGAAAUAUUUCAAUUAGCCUCUCCAAAAGGGCAGAUCUGCCCCCAAGUGACGACGACGACGACGACGACGACGAUGAUGAUGAUGAUCAUCAUCAUCAUCAUCACCAUUUGCUAUGGUUUGAGUGUAUCCCCCCAGAAUUCAUGUGUUGGAAAUUUGGUCCUUAGUGUGGUAGUGCUGAGAGGUGGGGCCUUUAAGAGGUGAUUAGGUUGUUAAGACAGAUUAAUGCCACUCUCUUGGGACUGGGUUAAUUCUCGCCGGAAUGAGUUCUCACUCUCGUGGGAUUGGACCAGUUGCCAUGAGAGUGGGAUGUUAUAAAGCAAGGCUGCUCCUCCUAUCUUGCCCCUUUUGCACAUGCCUGCUCCCUUCCACCUCAUCAUAUGAUGAGGCAGCAGGAGGUCCUCAAUGGAAGUUAAGGCUGCCCAAUUUGGACUUCCCAGUCUCCAUAACUGUGAGCCAAAAUAAGCCUCUUUAUAAAUUAACCAGUUUCAGGCAUUCUGUUAUAAGGUCAUUCAGAGUGCACAAAGAAGAAAAGCAAUUAAGACUUUCUUGUUCUCCUUGCUGGGUCCAACUUCCACUCCCCAGAAACAAGAGCCUCUUCAGCUGGCCCAAGUAGCCCCAUUUUACUCCCAGGAAUGAGUCAGCCCACUUCCUCUCUCACUCCUCCCCAAUGCUGGCUUCAUGGCACUGAGCUGAAUGUGCUGUUCUCUUGGAAAAGGUUAAGUCAGCAUUCUCACUUCUCCUAAUGCUCAGCUCGUCCUGAGAACCUCCUGCUUCUUUCAGUCCAGCCAUCCCAAGACUCCCAUAGGAAACCUGUCACUUCUUCAAAUUCCAACCAGGAUCUUUACUCAAUCCAACCUCACAGCACUCUCACUCCUCUUUGGCCCAGGCCACAAGCCUUCCUGGGGCUCAGGACUUCUCUCCCAACUUGAACCCUACACUUUGACACUUCAAACUGUCCUCUUUGAGAGGGGACUCCUCUCCCCACAAUCGCUGACACUAAUCUCUACCCCUAAAGUAUAAUCCCCUUCUUCUAUUCUGGCUCUCAGGCAAUGAAGACUAUUGAAAGAAGUCACAUAAACAUGACCCACCUUGUCAACUUGCAAUCAAUGCAUCUAACUUUAGUGUGGUUCUUUCCAUGGAAGAUUAUUAGCCCUCUGGCCUCACUGAAUCUUUAGUUCAGUUUUAUUUUAUUUUAGAAACAAGUUCUCACGCUGUCACCUGGGCUGGAGUAUAGUGGCACGAUCACAGCUCACUGUAGCCUCGAGCUCCUGGACUUAGGUGAUCCUCCUGUCUCACCUCCCCAAUAGCUAAAACCACAGGCACACAUAACCACACUCAGCUAAUUUUUAAACUUUUUUGUAGAAAUGGAGUCGCACUAUAUCGCCUAUGCUGGUCUUGAACUCCUGGCCUCAAGUGAUCCUCCCACGCCAGCCUCCCAAAGUGCUGGGAUUGUAGGCAUGAGCCACUGCACCAGCCCAGUUUCAUUUUAAACUUUAACCCUUAUUUAUUUCUGUAGAAUCUCUUAUUCCCUCGUACGAUCUAGCUUUUGCCUCAAAAUGUCCAGAAACUCUCAACACAAAGAUCCCCAAUAUCUGGCCCCAGUCACAUUCAAGGGCCUUUUUUCCUGGUUGCCACCUUCUUAAGGCAAGACCCUUCCUUCCAGUCCUCUCCUCGUUGGCUGGUGUGAGGCUCUGUGAUGGGAGCUCUCCCACUCAUCCUCUGGUUCUGCUCAGUCUGUUCUCGGCUCCUUUCUGCCCACAAGUCUCAGUUCCAUCUCUAAAAAGCAUAGCCUCUAGCUUGGAGACAGCUUUCCUUCCUUCUAACAGUAUGUGGUAUAUCUGGCAUUUGACUAUAUAUUGGAUGUAUAUCUCAAAAGCUGAGAGCAGUACAUCUCUAAAAAAAAAAAACUCACCUUGACUCAGAAUCCCACUCCAGAAGAGCCCUUAGAGAUCGUCUAGAUUGAACCAGUGGAUUUUACAGGCAAGGAUCUCUCCAGUGGAAAGGUCUCCAGGGGCUGCCCAAGGUCACUACCAGUCAGCAGAAGCCACAGCUCACUUCUAUCUCCAGAGACUCUGGUGCUCCUGCCGUGACAUCAUCCUACUUCAUGUAGGAUGGCACCAGCCAGAGAGUCACAGAAUGGAACUGCUAUAGUCCAUCCUGCCUUCCCAAUGGCAUCACAGUUCAAAAAAGGGCUAUAAAUUAGGGCAGUAUCAUGAUGAGGUGAGAAAAUUCUCCUCUUCCUCCUCACAUCUUACUAAGGAAACCACUGAGACUACACACUCUGAUGACCCAGUCAGAGUAAAGGAGGAGCUGAGGCAAGUGGCUACAGGUCAGAGCGUCCCACCUGCAAACCCUAAGCGUCAUCAUAAAGAUGACACUCGAUUUGCUCUGUUGUUCCUACAUCAACAGCAAUCCUUUUAUGCAUAGUCAAUGGCUUUAGCACUCUGCUACACGAAGCCAGUGGGGAACAGGGUGCUCAACGCUGGGACAGGAGGGUGUCCCCCACUGCUCUCUGUGCUGCAGGUAAUGUCUACGCUCUAAUCUCUCCAACCAGAAAAUCAGGGGCUUGGAGAAUGUCACUUCUUAGGUUUCAUAUGGCCCUAAAGUCUAAGGUUGUAGGUUCAGUGUUACCUGGGGAGAAGCCUGGAGGUAGAUGAAGCCAUGUAAUGUGAUCCGGCUGGCAAACUCCCACAGGAGAAAAGAAUGCCAGUCCUGAUAGAUAUGCCACUCGAUGUCACUGAGGGAACCAUUUUCAAAAAGAUUCUUUGCAAAGAUAUACCUGGUUGGAAGUGGGAUGGGAAUGGGGAGGGCAGGAGAAUGGGAAAUGGAAUGAAAGGCACGAGAGAGAGAGAGAAGCAGAAAAAUCAAUAACCAACUUGUUCCAUGUCUGUUCAAACCACUUAACCUUUCUAGCUCCUCAUCAAUCCUUAAGAAAUCUGAAUUCUUAACCCAUAUCUCCCUCCCUGCUCAGUACUAAGAUGGGAAAUAGGAUCUAGACUUUGGAGGCUGAAAUCACACCUUUCCAGAUGGAUUGAUUCACUGGAAGAAAAGAGACAGAAGAUAGUAUCAUUGGUCCCUAACAAUUUUCUCUGCUAGAAACCAGUCAGAACAUACAGCAAAUAUAUGUAAACUUGAACUUUUGAGAUUUCCUUAUUAUUAUUAUAGCAAGGCCCAAAACAAAUAAACAAGUGAAUCCAGUAUAAAUCCACCCACUAAAUUUCAUACAAGGACUGAGGGCUUCUAAGUCUCCAGGCUACUGAGCCAUCCUUUUGUUUAGCUGAGACAUGCAGAAGAAAUAGUAUUUAUGUGGUGUCCUCUAUGGAGCAGAAAAUGCAUUUCCUACUAAUUUCAGUAUUACUAAGAAAGCAGACUCUCCUGCAAAAUGCAUUAUGAGCUCCUGCUUGCUUGCUUCCUCUGCUGCUGAGUUUCUAGUUCAGAUAAAAGAAAGCUAAAGCUAAAAAUCAAACCAGCUUUGCCCCCUGCUUAUUUCUACAACCAAAAGAGCAUCUGGUAAACAGGAAAUCAGAGCUAAACAUAAACCAUGGCUUCAGACAAACCAGGGGUCAAUCCUGCUUUCAAACCUCAGGCAUUUUAAUAAAAAACACAAUUUGCAUCCUAAGCAAGGGACUCCAGUUUCCAAGGCAAUGCUCAGCAACUGGCCACUUUGGAGAAAAUAAAAUUCAGAACCCUUGUGUAUGAUGGCUCAGGAAAGUACAGACUGCAAGGCUGUGAGUGUCACCACUGAGAGAAUACCUUCCAGAAUAACAUUUCAGGGUCUGAUACUGGCUGAAACAUUCACUAGCUAUGUAACUUCAGGCAAGUCACCUAAAUCCUCUCAGCCUGUUAUGAUGAUGUCUUGUAAUAAUCCUCACAAAGUGCUUAGAAGAGUGACUGGCACAUAGUCUUCUAGAUAUCUUAGUUAUUAUUAUAACUGCUUUUUGUUAGGCUAUGAAGAAGCUAACUUAGAAACUCCACAAGUAAACUUUCCCAGUCUGGAAUGGUUUAGCCAUAGUCUAGUUGAUGAGAACAAAUAAAAGGGUAACAUUUUAAACUCAAAAUGUUUUUGAGUUCUUUACAGAUAACUAGAAGAUGAAAUUAAGAUCCUAUAAAGUGGCCACGCACUGUGGCUCACACCUGUAAUCCCAGCACUUUUGGAGGCUGAGGCGGACGGAUCACCUGAGGCCAGGAGUUUGAGACCAGCCUGGCCAACAUGGUGAAACCCCGUUUCUACUAAAAACACAAAAAUUAGCCAGGCAUGAUGGCGUGUCCCUGUAAUCCCAGCUACUCAGGAGACUGAGGCACAAGAAUUGCUUGAACCCAGGAGGCGGAGGUUGCAGUGAGCCAAGAUUACACCACUGCACUCCAGCCUGGGCGACAGAGCGAGACUCUGUCUUAAAACAAAAAAGGAUCUUAUAAAGAGAAAUUAAAGAUUUGCUAAUAAGCCCUAUGAAAGGGGUUCUUGGCUUUCUUGAGAAAGAGCACUUCCUUUAUUUCUUCAAAGCUUGUGGUGGUGAUGGGGUGAGGGGCAGAAGGGUGUGGUGCUGAGUGGGAGGGAAGUACUGCAGACUGAAUGCAGGGGCUGCAGGACAGAACAGGGCAUAAGGAUCUAGGAGUCAGGGCCUCUGCUCUAAAACCAUAUGCUAAUGUUUCCUUUAACUCAAACAGAAAAGACUAAGAUUUCUUCCUCGCUAUAAUCAACUCUCCCAGAUAACCUGUGUUCCUCCUUUGGAACAAAUAUCACACACGUGAGCAUGUGUUCAGUCCCUGUUAGGCAGGGACUGGGUCUGCCUUAUUCACUGCUGCAGCCCCAGGGCCAGCCUUGGUGCUUCAACACAGGAGGCAUCCAAUAAAUCUGUGCAAGUGAACAAAGUCUAAAUUACCCUCGGGAUUAGAACUUGUGAUUAGUUUUCCUUUCUGUCUCGAAAAUGCCCUCACUGAAGAUAGCACCUGGAAUGUUGUAUGCCCACAGUGUAAUCAAUUAUUACCUCUUCCUUUACAAGCAAAGGUUAAGAUCCAUGCAGCUUCUUAAUGCAUUUCUAAUUAACAAAGUGUUUCUACUUCUCUAUUUUCCUCUGAGGGUCUCACACACCUACUUCAUGAAGCGGCUAGAAAUAAAGACUGACUAUGUUUCCAAACAACCCAUGUGGUUAUAUGUAAUUCAACUUCGGAGUCCGAGAGGCAUGGCUUGGGAGAGAAGAGAGGAAAACAGGCAGGUGGGAUAUCCAACAGCUGAAAAAGAAGUAAAACCUAUAGCCCAGCCAUUUGUAAUUCACAUAUUUAGCUUUUAUAAAAAGUAGGCUCUCUCGGGGUACGUACACAAGGAACGGAUAGCCUAUAGGGUUUGUUUUACAUAUCUUCCAUGAUUUUAGGGUAAAGUCAGAAAAAUCACUUGUCAUUUACAAAUGUAUCCUUAUUUUUUUUCUUCUAGGAGGCUUUCCGGAAGCACUAAGAAAUAGAACUAGUUUGUCUAAUUUGGAAUUAAAAGAGUAACCAACUGAGUGUCUUCAGCAGUGACAAUGAAAAUGUACCACUUCCCAUUUUGAUAAUUCAAAGAGCCUUAAGAAAGAUCGUUUUGCUUGAAAGCACUAUUUCACACUGACACUGGUCAUUCAUAGGCUUCAGAUAAGAAAAACUCCAGCAGUGUCCAGAUCAAGCCAUCCUGACUUUGUCUCUAGGCGGCUUAACCUCAAGUCACAGCCUGGUCUCUGCAGCAGAGCCAGGCAUUCCGGAGCCUGCACGGCCUAGCUCUUCUGGAGCAGAUGGGCUCACUUCCCAGGGUGCUGCUAGCUUGCAUUCAAAGUGACUUCACAUCUCACUCCCUCAGGUGGUCAGGAUGAUGCCCAUCCCUGAUCUGACACAGGCACUGAUGUCCACUAGACUCUGGCCAGCAAAAAGCCCUCUCACAGAAGAAGGGGUCAAAAAGGGCUAAAUCUGAGACAGAAGCCAGUUUCUCAGAUGUGCUAUUUCUGCCUAAGCAUCCUUUCUUGAACAAUAAAAAAAAAAGGCUGAAAAUAUCUCUUAUAUCAUUUUCAGGAACACAAAUUUUAAUUUCGUCUGCUUUUUUCUUAAAGGGGAUAAUCAACCACUGAAUCAUCUGAUUUCUUAGAAUAUACACUGCUACUUAAGUGUCUAUUAUGUGCCUUUUAGCAUGUGAUGGUUACAUUAGGUGGCUACCAGCUUGCUCCAUGCCAGAAAAUAAGGAAACAUAAGGUAAUCAGUAGCAAUGUAAGAAAUUCAAAGCAUUCAGUUGAUGAAAAACCCAAUUUCCUUUCUUGACAUAGAUGACAAUCUGGUAGAAGUACAACUCUG
rnacentral:lncRNA from 1 species